GACUCCCCCUGAAGCCGAUUCGGGUUUCCCUCCACCAGGCGUCUUUGGAUCACACUGUGUGGCUGCUGGCUCCAUCACAAAACAAUGAAGAUCCCAGGGUUGGUGGUGUGAUGAAAAGAAGUAAGAAAUUGAAGAACUAGGCCGGGCGCAGUGGCUCACGCCUGCAAUCCCAGCACUUUGGGAGGCCAAGAAAUUAGCUGGGCAUGGUGAUGCGUGCC